rnacentral:rRNA from 1 species
CACGUAGGUGGGUUUGUAAGUCAGAUGUGAAAGCCUUCUGUUCAACGGAAGAAUUGCAUCUGAAACUGCGAGUCUUGAGUGUAGGAGGGGAGAAUGGAACUUCUGGUGGAGCGGUGAAAUGCGUAGAUAUCAGAAGGAACGCCGGCGGCGAAAGCGAUUCUCUGGCCUAUUACUGACACUCAGUGUGCGAAAGCUAGGGGAGCAAACGGGAUUAGAUACCCCGGUAGUCCUAGCCGUAAACGAUGGGCACUAAGUAGAGGGAAUUACCGAUGUUCUCUCUGCCGUAGCUAACGCAUUAAGUGCCCCGCCUGGGGAGUACGGCCGCAAGGCUAAAACUCAAAAGAAUUGACGGGGGCUCGCACAAGCGGUGGAGCAUGUGGCUUAAUUCGAUGCAACGCGAAGAACCUUACCGGGGCUUGACAUGGUAGAAGUAGGAACCCGAAAGGGUAACGAACGGUAUCCAGUCCGUAACUAUCACAGGUGUUGCAUGGCUGUCGUCAGCUCGUGUCGUGAGACGUUGGGUUAAGUCCCCUAACGAGCGAAACCCUUGUUUUUAGUUACCAGCGGGUUAUGCCGGGUACUCUAGAAAGACUGCCGUCGUCAAGACGGAGGAAGGUGGGGAUGACGUCAAGUCAUCAUGGCCCUUAUGCCCCGGGCUGCACACGUGCUACAAUGGUUGGUACAAACGGAAGCGAAGCCGAGAGGUGAAGCGAAUCCAAGC